rnacentral:rRNA from 1 species
UACGUAGGGUGCAAGCGUUAAUCGGAAUUACUGGGCGUAAAGCGUGCGCAGGCGGCUCUAUAAGACAGAUGUGAAAUCCCCGGGCUCAACCUGGGAACUGCAUUUGUGACUGUAGAGCUGGAGUACGGUAGAGGGGGAUGGAAUUCCGCGUGUAGCAGUGAAAUGCGUAGAUAUGCGGAGGAACACCGAUGGCGAAGGCAAUCCCCUGGACCUGUACUGACGCUCAUGCACGAAAGCGUGGGGAGCAAACAGG